UAUGGUGAAGGUGGUCAGAUUUCUCCAUGUGGGGAUGUCUAUAGCUUUGGUAUCGUGCUCCUUGAGAUGUUUACAUCAAAGACGCCUGCAGAUGCAAUGUUCACAGAUGGAUUUACCUUACUAGAGUAUGCAAAGAUGGCAUAUCCAACACAACUAAUCGAGAUUAUUGACCCUCUUCUGCUAUCAGUUGAGAAUACACGGGGAGAUAUCAAUAGUAUCAUGUACUUUGUCACAAGACUUGCCCUAGAAUGCAGUAGCAAAGACCAACUGAAAGGUUGUCCAUCAGAGAUGUUGUAACUGAGAUGAACAAGAUAAUGGCUUGCCAUGCUGCAGGAGUAACUAGGCAAAGCAGUUCCGGGUGAUUGAAC
rnacentral:rRNA from 1 species